CACAGAGUAAAAUAUGAAUGUUUCCGGUGUGAAAGGACUAGUUUGUUUUCAACCCACCUUCUCAUGGAACCAACUAGGAAAUCUAGUGGAUGCAAUUUGAAUGUGGUGAAGUCUCCGAAGGGUGCUGUCCCUGUCAAUGAAAUAAGAAGCGGCUAGCUGAUGUAGCGUCUCCAGAGUGACCGAAGAGCUAUUGGUGGUGGAAUCACUUCCUUCAGCUCGUUUGCUCAACUUCCGCUUGUCCACAAAAAUUGCCCAUUUGCUUUUUACAUCCUACUGGUGUUUAACCUGGAGUCUUUUGCUAUUUUACGAAGAGUAUUGAAACAUGUCUCUCUGGAGUCAAAUAUUUCAUUUCAGACACCUCCCUUUAUGAUGUCAAUCUAAGGGCUGAGCUAAGGGAAAUAAAUGUGAUUAUUGUUAUGAGGGCAUACAGUGAGAUGGCAGCAGCCUGUAAGCCAGAAACAGAAGCAUCACCAGAAACUGACCAUGCUGGUACCCUAAUCUCAGACUUCCAGAUUUCUGAAGAACUUCAAAGAAACAAAAGUCUAUUGUUUAAGCCACCUAGUCUGUCACAUUUUGUUAUGGCAAUGUGAGCUAACUAAUACACUACCUUUAAA
rnacentral:lncRNA from 1 species